UAAAAACAUAGAAUGUGACGGCAGAUAAGAACCAUUCGGCCCAUCUAGUCUGCCCAAUUUUCUAUAUAUUUUCAUUAAUCCCUGGCCCUAUUUUAUAUCUAUAAGGAUAGCCUUACUUUAACUGUACAUUGCAGGAAGGGGAGAUGAGACAAUAAUGUCCAUUGUGCCUCUGGACAUUCAUAGAGAGUGUUUAAAAAGCAG